AUGGCUCGGCGGGUUACUGGCUUACCCCGGUCGGCGUGCUUCAUCUCUUUGCUCAUAGUACUACUACGACAGGUCACUGCCGCGGAGACAGUGAAAGUGAGCACCACGCCGGUAUUCCCUUCAAUCCCGUGGGGGCAAGAGAACGAUGAUUUCGAGGUGCUGGUGCGUGUGGAGGCGCCGCCGGAGGCAAGCAGGCGAUCCCCCGUCGACCUAGUGGCCGUGCUGGAUAUCAGCAGCAGCAUGAAUACUCGGGCGGCGCCAUCCGAUGAGUCAUCGAGGCUGGAUCUGCUCAAACGAGCGAUGAAGUUCAUCAUCGGGAAGCUCGACAGCGGAGACCGCCUAGCUAUCGUGGCGUUCAACAACCAAAUCGUCGAAGAGUAUGGCACCAGGUUACUGGACAUGUCGUCCGGUGGCCGGAGAGAUGUAAGAAGGCGGGUCGAUGAGCUGACGGCGCGCGGCUCCACGGCGUUCCGGCCGGGCCUGUGUAAGGCGGUGAAGAUCCUCGACGAGAGAAGUGACGGAAGGAACCGUGCCGGCUUCAUCUUGUUCCUGUCGGAUGGAAAAGACAAGAGAGGAAUCAAGUGGAGCAUGGAAGUCGGGAUCAGCGCCGCGCUCCGGAAGUACCCCGUCCAUACCUUCGGCUUCAGCGGGUCUCACAAACCCAACGCGCUGCUCUUCAUCGCCCAGGAGUCGCGGGGAACCUACUCCUUCAUCAACGAGAACCUGGCCAGCAUCACCAGCGCCUUCGCCGUCUGCCUGGGCGGGCUCAAGAGCGUCGUCGCCGUCGACGAGCGCAUCAGCCUUGUGGCCCCGAAGCAUGGCGGGGUGCAGCUCAAGAGCAUCGACUCCGGUGGGUACGGGAGCCACAUCUCCGGAGACGGGGCGUCGGGCGAGAUCGUGAUCGGCGCGAUGUACGCCGGCGAGGUGAAGAACUUCAUCGUCCGCCUGCACGUGCCGUCGGUGGAUCUGGACAUCGGCAAUGGCAAAGUUGCCGUCUCAAAGCACCAGCUCCUGCUCACGGCCACACGCCACUUGCAUGCUGUCAAUGGGGUUGGGGAGAACGGCGGCAGCGCAUCACUGUCAGUCCAAAGGCCCGGAGCACUGGCCGUGCAGCAGCAAGUCGUUGCAUCCGCCUUGGUAGUGAACCACAUCGUCCGGUUCAGGUUGGUGGAGAUGGUGGCCAAGUUCGUCCAGGGCCUGGACAAGGUCGUCGCCACCAUUGAUCGCGUAAGGCCGACGAGUUGCAGGGGAGGUGGGAGGAAUUCAAGGAAGCGCACAAGUUUUGGGGCGGCGUUGAGCUGUGGCGUUUCGAGGCCGACAUCAAAGUGA
rnacentral:rRNA from 1 species